rnacentral:rRNA from 1 species
AUUGAACGCUGGCGGCAUGCUUUACACAUGCAAGUCGAACGGCAGCACAGAAGAGCUUGCUCUUUGGGUGGCGAGUGGCGGACGGGUGAGUAAUGUCUGGGAAACUGCCCGAUGGAGGGGGAUAACUACUGGAAACGGUAGCUAAUACCGCAUAACGUCGCAAGACCAAAGUGGGGGACCUUCGGGCCUCACACCAUCGGAUGUGCCCAGAUGGGAUUAGCUAGUAGGUGGGGUAAUGGCUCACCUAGGCGACGAUCCCUAGCUGGUCUGAGAGGAUGACCAGCCACACUGGAACUGAGACACGGUCCAGACUCCUACGGGAGGCAGCAGUGGGGAAUAUUGCACAAUGGGCGCAAGCCUGAUGCAGCCAUGCCGCGUGUAUGAAGAAGGCCUUCGGGUUGUAAAGUACUUUCAGCGGGGAGGAAGGCGGUGAGGUUAAUAACCUCGCCGAUUGACGUUACCCGCAGAAGAAGCACCGGCUAACUCCGUGCCAGCCGCCGCCGUAA